rnacentral:rRNA from 2 species
GCAGUCGAGCGGACUUGAUGGAGCUUGCUCCAUCAAGUUAGCGGCGGACGGGUGAGUAACACGUGGGCAACCUGCCUGUAAGACUGGGAUAACUCCGGGAAACCGGAGCUAAUACCGGAUAGUAUCUUGAACCGCAUGGUUCAAGUUGGAAAGACGGUUUCGGCUGUCACUUACAGAUGGGCCCGCGGCGCAUUAGCUAGUUGGUGAGGUAAUGGCUCACCAAGGCAACGAUGCGUAGCCGACCUGAGAGGGUGAUCGGCCACACUGGGACUGAGACACGGCCCAGACUCCUACGGGAGGCAGCAGUAGGGAAUCUUCCGCAAUGGACGAAAGUCUGACGGAGCAACGCCGCGUGAGUGAUGAAGGUUUUCGGAUCGUAAAACUCUGUUGUUAGGGAAGAACAAGUGCGAGAGUAACUGCUCGCACCUUGACGGUACCUAACCAGAAAGCCACGGCUAACUACGUGCCAGCAGCCGCGGUAAUACGUAGGUGGCAAGCGUUGUCCGGAAUUAUUGGGCGUAAAGCGCGCGCAGGCGGUUUCUUAAGUCUGAUGUGAAAGCCCCCGGCUCAACCGGGGAGGGUCAUUGGAAACUGGGAAACUUGAGUGCAGAAGAGGAGAGUGGAAUUCCACGUGUAGCGGUGAAAUGCGUAGAGAUGUGGAGGAACACCAGUGGCGAAGGCGACUCUCUGGUCUGUAACUGACGCUGAGGCGCGAAAGCGUGGGGAGCGAACAGGAUUAGAUACCCUGGUAGUCCACGCCGUAAACGAUGAGUGCUAAGUGUUAGAGGGUUUCCGCCCUUUAGUGCUGCAGCUAACGCAUUAAGCACUCCGCCUGGGGAGUACGGUCGCAAGACUGAAACUCAAGGAAUUGACGGGGGCCCGCACAAGCGGUGGAGCAUGUGGUUUAAUUCGAAGCAACGCGAGAACCUUACCAGGUCUUGACAUCCUUUGCCACUUCUAGAGAUAGAAGGUUCCCCUUCGGGGACAAAAGU